rnacentral:rRNA from 1 species
GACAGAGGGUGCAAACGUUGUUCGGAAUUACUGGGCGUAAAGCGCGUGUAGGCGGCCAUCUAAGUCGGGCGUGAAAUCCCACGGCUCAACCGUGGAAGUGCACUCGAAACUGGAUGGCUAGAGUCCUGGAGAGGAAGGUGGAAUGCUUGGUGUAGAGGUGAAAUUCGUAGAUAUCAAGCGGAACACCGGUGGCGAAGGCGGCCUUCUGGACAGUGACUGACGCUGAGACGCGAAAGCUAGGGGAGCAAACAGG